rfam:Mesorhizobium amorphae CCNWGS0123 contig00246, whole genome shotgun sequence.
GGGAGCCGUGUGAGCUGAGAGGUUCACGCACGGUUCUGAGAGAGCGGAGGCGCGCAAGCGUCUCCGCUACUCGCC